rnacentral:rRNA from 1 species
UUGACCUCAAAUCGGGUGGGACUACCCGCUGAACUUAAGCAUAUCAAUAAGCGGAGGAAAAGAAACUAACAAGGAUUCCCCUAGUAACGGCGAGUGAAGAGGGAAAAGCUCAAAUUUUGAAUCUGGUGUCUUUGACUCCCGAGUUGUAAUCUAGAGAAGUGUUUUCCGUGUCGGACCGUGCACAAGUUCCCUGGAACGGGGCGUCAUAGAGGGUGAGAAUCCCGUAUAUGGCAUGGACUGCCGAUGCUCUGUGAUACACUCUCAACGAGUCGAGUUGUUUGGGAAUGCAGCUCAAAAUGGGUGGUAAAUUCCAUCUAAAGCUAAAUAUUGGCGAGAGACCGAUAGCGAACAAGUACCGUGAGGGAAAGAUGAAAAGCACUUUGGAAAGAGAGUGAAACAGUACGUGAAAUUGUUGAAAGGGAAGCGUUUGAAGUCAGUCAUGUCUGGCGGGAUUCAGCUUGGCUUUUGCCUGGUGUAUUUU